CAGAUCCCUUUUAAGUUCUUUCCAUGACACACGAUACCAUCCUUACAAAUCUUGUAACCGACGAAAUUGAUAUCUACUUAGGCAAAUUGGAACUUUUCUUUGCUUAAGUGCUCCUCAAAAGUGUCCUCAUCCACCAGGACAUGAUAUACAACUUUAUGAGCGUUACGAAUUCUUUGUAAGGUUUGGUCACGCCUACAAUUGUAUACAUCACCAUUGGAUCUGGAAACUCAUCAAUCAAUUCCUUGAAGUAAUUUCCUUUAACUUAUUCGUAUAUGUUGGAAUCUAGGAGGUUGAGGGAGAUCUGGGUGCAAAAUUUCCAAUCCCCUGCAUGCUUGCUGAAAUAUAAACAUCUCAUAUUGGCCAAUAUCUUUGGCGAAUUACACAACCUCCUUCUGCUGACGAUUUCCGAGUGUAAAUAUUAGCUCAACACCUUUUACGGCAUCCAAUUUCGAGCCAUUCGCAAUGACAAUAUUAGGGGUUGCUGAUGAGUUCCCUGAUUGGCUUGAUGCUAAGCUCAUGUCUUUAUAAAUUCGUAAGACAGCAAUAGAAGCUAUUGUAACACUAUCAGCUCUCCAUAUUUUAUUGUAAUGUCCUUUUUUUCUUGCAGUUCGUAUUCGGCCUCCUUUGCAGAGCACGGUCUUCCCCAAAUUGAUGAGGAGCCUUGAACCCACACUUUCCACAGAGGUUCUCUUCACUCCUCGUCCAUGAUCUGCCACGACUAUGAUUCUUCCUUCUUACGUGACUUCUACUUUCAUCGUCAGCUCUCAAAUUCGAUUUACACCCUCCAAAUACUAGAUCGUUUAAGCUGUCUUGAUUACUCUUGGCUGGUUCAA
rnacentral:lncRNA from 1 species